rnacentral:rRNA from 1 species
GUGGGGAAUCUUCCACAAUGGACGAAAGUCUGAUGGAGCAACGCCGCGUGAGUGAAGAAGGGUUUCGGCUCGUAAAGCUCUGUUGUCGGGGACGAAUGUGCAGUAUUUGAAUAAAGUACUGCAAUGACGGUACCUGACGAGGAAGCCACGGCUAACUACGUGCCAGCAGCCGCGGUAAUACGUAGGUGGCAAGCGUUGUCCGGAAUUAUUGGGCGUAAAGGGAGCGCAGGCGGGAAGGUAAGUAGGUCUUAAAAGUGCGGGGCUCAACCCCGUGAUGGGAUCGAAACUAUCUUUCUUGAGUGCAGGAGAGGAAAGUGGAAUUCCUAGUGUAGCGGUGAAAUGCGUAGAUAUUAGGAGGAACACCAGUGGCGAAGGCGACUUUCUGGACUGUAACUGACGCUGAGGCUCGAAAGCCAGGGGAGCGAACGGGAUUAGAUACCCUUGUAGUCC